GACGAACGCUGGCGGCGUGCCUAAUACAUGCAAGUCGAGCGCGGGAAGCAAGUUGAUCCUCUUCGGAGGUGACGCUUGUGGAACGAGCGGCGGACGGGUGAGUAACACGUGGGCAACCUGCCUGUAAGAUUGGGAUAACCCCGGGAAACCGGAGCUAAUACCGAAUAAUACUUUUUAUCACAUGGUAGAAAGUUGAAAGGCGGCUUUUGCUGUCACUUACAGAUGGGCCCGCGGCGCAUUAGCUAGUUGGUGGGGUAAUGGCCUACCAAGGCGACGAUGCGUAGCCGACCUGAGAGGGUGAUCGGCCACACUGGGACUGAGACACGGCCCAGACUCCUACGGGAGGCAGCAGUAGGGAAUCUUCCGCAAUGGACGAAAGUCUGACGGAGCAACGCCGCGUGAGUGAUGAAGGUUUUCGGAUCGUAAAACUCUGUUGUUAGGGAAGAACAAGUAUCGUUCGAAUAGGGCGGUACCAUGACGGUACCUAACCAGAAAGCCCCG
rnacentral:rRNA from 1 species